rnacentral:rRNA from 1 species
AUUGAACGCUGGCGGCAUGCUUUACACAUGCAAGUCGAACGGCAGCGAGGAGAAGCUUGCUUCUCUGUCGGCGAGUGGCGAACGGGUGAGUAUAGCAUCGGAACGUGCCAAGUAGUGGGGGAUAACCAAACGAAAGUUUGGCUAAUACCGCGUAAGCUCUAAGGAGGAAAGUAGGGGACCUAAAUAAGGCCUUACGCUAUUUGAUCGGCCGAUGUCGGAUUAGCUAGUUGGUGGGGUAAUGGCUCACCGAGGCAAUGAUCCGUAGCGGGUCUGAGAGGACGAUCCGCCACACUGGGACUGAGACACGGCCCAGACUCCUACGGGAGGCAGCAGUGGGGAAUUUUGGACAAUGGGGGAAACCCUGAUCCAGCCAUGCCGCGUGUAUGAAGAAGGCCUUAGGGUUGUAAAGUACUUUUGUUAGGGAAGAAAAGCUAGUUUUUAAUAAAAAUUAGUGAUGACGGUACCUAAAGAAUAAGCACCGGCUAACUACGUG